rfam:Triticum urartu cultivar G1812 contig143170, whole genome shotgun sequence.
AAAGUACUCCCUCCGUCCCAAAAUUCUUGUCUUAGAUUUUUCUAGAACAGAUGUAUCAAGUCACAUUUUAGUAUUAGAUACAUCCUUAUCUAGACAAAUCUAAGACAAGAAAUUUGGGAUAGAGGGAGUAGUUG